rnacentral:rRNA from 1 species
AUUGAACGCUGGCGGCAUGCCUUACACAUGCAAGUCGAACGGCAGCACGGGUGCUUGCACCUGGUGGCGAGUGGCGAACGGGUGAGUAAUACAUCGGAACGUACCUUAUCGUGGGGGAUAACGCAGCGAAAGCUGUGCUAAUACCGCAUACGCCCUGAGGGGGAAAGCGGGGGAUCGUAAGACCUCGCGCGAUUAGAGCGGCCGAUGCCUGAUUAGCUUGUUGGUGGGGUAGAAGCCCACCAAGGCGACGAUCAGUAGCUGGUCUGAGAGGACGAUCAGUCACACUGGGGCUGAGACACGGUCCAGACUCCUGCGGGAGGCAGCAGUGGGGAAUUUUGGACAAUGGGGGCAAACCUGAUCCAUCAAUGCCGCGUGAGUGAAGAAGGCCUUCGGGUUGUAGAGCUCGUUUGUCAGGGAAGAGACACCGGCUCUAACACAGUCCGGGAAUGACGGUACCUGAAGAAUAAGCACCGGCUAACUACGUGCCAGCCGCCGCCGUAA